rnacentral:rRNA from 1 species
AUAGGGGGUACUGCCUGCCCAGUGAAAAUUUCAACGGCCGCGGUAUCCUGACCGUGCGAAGGUAGCACAAUCAUUAGUCUCCUAAAUAGGGACCAGUAUCAACGGCAAGACGAGAACUUAACUGUCUCCCUCUUAACAAAACAAACUUCUUUAGUCGUGCAAAAGCGACCAUAACAGCGCAAGACGAGAAGACCCUAUCGAGCUUAAGGGCCAAUGCCUGUAAAAUCUAGAGCCCCAUGCUGACUCAUAUACACACCUAACUCUCUUUUUUACCAACUCAUACCCCCUUUGGUUGGGGCAACCCCGAAGAAACCCACCCUUCGCACCGAAACUUAUUCCAGAUCUUAAAUCUAAAAUUACAAAAUAUAUCGCACAAUGACCCAGCACACCCUGAUCAACAAACCAAGUUACCGUAGGGAUAACAGCGUAAUCCCUUCCAAGAGUCCACAUUGCCGAAGGAGUUUGCGACCUCGAUGUUGGAUCGGGUCAUCCUGAUGGUGCAGCCGCUAUCAAGGGU